rnacentral:rRNA from 1 species
GACGAACGCUGGCGGCGUGCUUAACACAUGCAAGUCGAAGAUAGUGGCGUACGGGUGAGUAAUGCGUGGGUAACCUGCCCUCCCUUUUAGAAUAAGCCUUGGAAACGGGGCCUAAUACCGAAUAAAGGGGGAUGGGCUCGCGGCUGAUCAGCGUGUUGGUGGGGUGGUGGCCUAACAAGGCGGUGACGGGUGGCCGGGCUGAGAGGCUGACCGGGCACAUAGGGACGGCGCAACGGCCCAGAGGACGACGCGGGGGAGAAGUGGGGGAUAUGGCCGAAUGGGUGAACGACUGAUGCAGCGAGGGCGAGGGGGGGAUUAGGGCCUUCGGGUUGUAAUGCUCGUGCGCAAUCGAACGGGUAGGUGGCGAAGAAGCGCCGGCUAACUACGUGCCAGCAGCCGCGGUAAUAC